AUUUUAGGUCGAUCUGCUCCAUGAAAUAAAUUUAAAUAGCUGCAGUAUAUUGACUGUACAAAGGUAGCAUAAUAAAUUGUCUUUUAAUUGAAGAAUUGAAUGAAUGAAUUGAUGAAAUAACAACUGUCUCUAUUUUAUUAAAUGAAUUUAAAUUUUUAGUAAAAAUUCUGAAAUUUAAUUAUGGGACGAUAAGACCCUAUAGAAUUUUAUUUAAAUAAUUAUUUAUUUAAAUUAUUUUUGAAUAUAUAAUUAAUUUAAAUUUGAUUGGGAGGAUUGGUAAAUAAAAAUAACUUUAUCUAAAAAUUAAUUUUGAUGAAAAGAUUUAUUUUUGACUUAUAAUUUAUGAUUAAAAGAAUAAAUUACCUUUAGGGAUAACAGCGUAAUAUCUUUUGAUAGACCACAUUGAUAAAGAUGUUUGCGACCUCGAUGUUGAAUUAAGAGAAAAGUUAAACGCAGGAGUUUAAAAUUUUAAGUCUGUUCGACUUUUAAAUCUUACAUGAUUUGAGUUCAA
rnacentral:rRNA from 1 species